CGAGGGGAUCGCAAGACCUUGCGCUGAUUGAGCGGCCGAUAUCAGAUUAGCUAGUUGGUGAGGUAAAGGCUCACCAAGGCGACGAUCUGUAGCGGGUCUGAGAGGAUGAUCCGCCACNCUGGAACUGANACACGGUCCAGACUCCUACGGGAGGCAGCAGUGGGGAAUUUUUGGACAAUGGGCGCAAGCCUGAUCCAGCCAUGCCGCGUGAGUGAAGAAGGCCUUCGGGUUGUAAAGCUCUUUCAGCCGGGAAGAAAACGCAUGGGUUAAUACCCUGUGUGGAUGACGGUACCGGAAUAAGAAGCACCGGCUAACUACGUG
rnacentral:rRNA from 1 species